AUACGUAGGUGACAAGCGUUAUCCGGAUUUACUGGGCGUAAAGGGCGUGUAGGCGGUCUUGCAAGUCAGAAGUGAAAUUCCUGAGCUCAACUCGGGCGCUGCUUCUGAAACUGCAGGACUUGAGUGCUGGAGGGGAUAGCGGAAUUCCUAGUGGAGCGGUAAAAUGCGCAGAUAUUAGGAAGAACACCGGUGGCGAAGGCGGCUAUCUGGACAGUAACUGACGCUGAGGCGCGAAAGCGUGUGGAGCAAACAGGAUUAGAUACCCGGGUAGUCCACGCCGUAAACGAUGAAUACUAGGUGUAGGGGGUAUCGACUCCCUCUGUGCCGCAGUUAACACAAUAAGUAUUCCGCCUGGGGAGUACGGCCGCAAGGUUGAAACUCAAAGGAAUUGACGGGG
rnacentral:rRNA from 1 species